UACGGGGGGGGCGAGCGUUGUUCGGAAUUACUGGGCGUAAAGGGUUUGUAGGUGGCCUGCUAAGUCAGACGUGAAAUCCCUCAGCUUAACUGGGGAACUGCGUCCGAUACUGGCGGGCUUGAGGACAGGAGAGGAACGCGGAAUUCCAGGUGUAGCGGUGAAAUGCGUAGAUAUCUGGAGGAACACCGGUGGCGAAGGCGGCGUUCUGGACUGUUUCUGACACUGAAAAACGAAAGCCAGGGGAGCAAACGGG
rnacentral:rRNA from 1 species